rnacentral:rRNA from 1 species
GACGGGAACUAUAAGGGCGUAUGGUGGAUGCCUUGGCUUCAUGGAGGCGAUGAAGGACGCGGCGUGGCGGCGAUACGCUCCGGGGAGGUGCCUAGCAACCUUCGAUCCGGAGAUGUCCGAAUGGGGAAACCCCAUAUGAUGAACUCAUAUGAUCCCGAACUUGCUUCGGGAAGCGCACCCUGGGAAGUAAAACAUUUCAGUACCAGGUGGAAAAGAAACAAAAUAUGCAUUCCGUAAGUAGCGGCGAGCGAAAGCGGAGGAGACUAAACUCAACCUAAAUCGUAGGGCGGAUUCCGCCCUUCGGGGACGGAAGCGUCCUGUGAUUUAGGUUGGGGGUUGCAAGGUGAGGGCGUGCCGUUUACGGCAGAGGAGUUACAAAAUGCGAUAUUAGCCGAAUGAGCUGGAAAGCUCAGCCCCAGAGGGUGACAGACCCGUAGGCGAAAAUAUCGGAUCUCUUUUGCUCUCAUUCUUAAGUACCCCGGGACACGAAAAGCUCGGGGGAAUCCGCCGGAACUAACCGGCAAGUCUGAAUACUCCAGAAGACCGAUAGUGAACUAGUACCGUGAGGGAAAGGUGAAAAGCAGCCCGGAAGGGCGGUGAAAUAGACCUGAAACCAUAUGCCUACAAGGAGUCAGAGCGGCCGCAAGGCCGUCAUGGCGUGCCUAUUGAAGAAUGAGCCAACGAGUUCAAGCAAGCAGCUCGGCUAAAGGCGAGAGCCUGGAGCCAAAGGGAAACCGAGUCUGAAUAGGGCGUUUGUCGUUUGCUUGAGACCCGAAGCCUGAUGAGCUUGCCACGCGCAGGGCGAAAGCCGACGAAAGUCGGCUGGAGGCCCGAACCGGUGAGCCGUGCAAAACUCUCGGAUGACGUGUGGUAAGGAGUGAAAAGCUAAUCGAAUCAGGUAAUAGCUGGUUCUCUCCGAAAGAACUUUUGGGUUCGCGUCGCGAUUACCCCUGCGGGGUAGAGCACUGGAAGAUCUCGACAGGCCGAAAGGCCGCGAGACCUAUCAAACUCCGAAUACGCAGGGCCAUUUCGCGGCAGUUAGUCCGUGGGGGCUAAGCUCCAUUGGACAAAACGGAAACAGCCGUAGAUCUCUAUUUAAGGUCCCUAAAUCGACGUUCAGUGCGCUUAAGGUAGUGAUACUUCUUUGACAAUGAGGAUGUAGGCUUAGAAGCAGCCAUCAUUCAAAAAUAGCGUAACAGCUUACUCAUCGAGAGAUCUCGCGCCGCAGAUAAUCGGGGCUUAAACGUCGUACCGAAACUGAGGGCUUGCGGGCUUCAUUGAGGAAAUUAUUUUGUUCUUUAUGA